rnacentral:lncRNA from 1 species
CUCCCCUUAUCCGCCGAAAAGCAGAGCAUAAAUUUCCUUUUGUGAAGACCCCCAAGACUGAAUAUGAGAGGGUGGAAGAAGUUUUUCCUCCUCAACAGUGUCCAGAAGUUAAGUUUCAACACUGUAUGCCUAAGGUUGAUACAGAAGAAGGACAGAAAUAUGUUUGAGACUGUAAAUCUUAUAUAAAUCCUAUAUGCAGUUAAGUUACUGCUGAUGGAAAUUUUUCUGGGGACCACAGAUGUUGGUUCAUACUCCAACUAAUUUGCAUCUGCACAUCAGCAAGGUCAAUGGUAGGAAGAAAAAUGAAGAUACCCAACGGAGCCUGUGGAGUUCAUUAAUGACCUGUGUGGUGCUCACUGCUUGUUAACCUACAAUAUCCAUUUUCCCUUCCUCCUUAUUCAUAACUUGAAUUUCUUAUUUAUAACCUGAAUUUCUUAUUCAUAACCCUUAAUUCCUUUAUCAGCUCUGAUUUCAUUCAGAGCAGCUGUGGUUAGCUGUUUAGGCCAAUUAAGAUAACUUACUGCCUCAGACCCUCUUGUCAGUAGGGGAUUAUGUGGCUCAGUUUUGGCUACUGAGGGGUGGUCUCCAAGUGGAAAUUUUGGAAAUACUAUCAUUUUCCUGUCAAAAAGCAACAGUCUGUAUUUAUGAACCUCUUGUUGCUUCUUCUUCUCUUUUCUUCUUGCUGGAAUAAAGAUGCAAUAUCUAGAGUAUAGCAGCCAUCUUACAAUCACGAAGUCAAAAAGGCACAAGCUAAGAAUGGUGGACCAGGAGAUAGAAGGAGCCUAGCUCUUCAAUGAGUUCCUUCCUAGAGCAACUUCACCAAUUUUGGACUGCCCAGCUCUGGAGUUCUCGUUAAGUGAGCAAAAUCUCUGUUUGUUUGAGCUAUAGCUAAAGUUUCUGUUGCACCAAGCCAUUUAAUUCUAAGCGACACAAACUCCUUCAGCAGAUUUUAAUAUUGAUGAAAGUGGUCUAUUUGGGAAAAAAAAAUGCUUGAAAGGUCUUAUUUUAAAACAUUGAAGAACUACCUCACAC